GAUUUCUUCAUCUAAGCUCAGCUGACUCAAAAGAUGGGGUUUCCACAUUUUGGACUAAUUCCAAUGCUCUUUGUGCUUCCCUCUAGUUGAAGUUGCCCACAUGAUCAUUCUGUUUAAGGAUUCUUCCCAACUAUGAAACUACAGAUACCUGAAUUUAUCUUAGCAUCCCUACAAUCAUCAACUUUUCAUUAUAAGGCUCUGCUAUGAAGAGAAAAGGAUUUGCUAUUCUAUCAGUCAUUCAUUUUGAGACCCUGCUCCCUCACCAUGUGUCCCCCACCCACAGCUUGAUUUUGAGCCUCAUUUCCUUCUCAGCUAUGUGCCAGUUGCUGUGAGAAGAAUGAGAAAAUAUCUACUGUAUACUAAUUUGGGGAGCUACCUCUGGGUGGCACAAUCAGGGUAUGUCAUAGAGGAAUAUCUAAUCUCAAGACUUCUAACA
rnacentral:lncRNA from 1 species